rnacentral:rRNA from 1 species
UGAAACUGAUCUGCUGGUACAAAAGCCAGAAUACCCACACAAGACGAGAAGACCCUGUGGAGCUUAUAACCACCCCACUACCAGCCGCGCCCCCAACCACACGCACACCUGACUAGCGGGCAGUUUAAGUUGGGGCGACUACGGAGCACAACAAACCCUCCAAGAAACAUAGGACUAACCCCCCACUACCAGGCACACACGCCAACAAGAUACCCCCUUCGACCCAGUAUGACUGACCACCGAACCAAGUUACCCCAGGGAUAACAGCGCCAUCCCCCUCCAGAGUCCAUAUCGCCAGGGGGGUUUACGACCUCGAUGUUGGAUC